GAUGAAGAACGUAGCGAAAUGCGAUACUUGGUGUGAAUUGCAGAAUCCCGUGAACCAUCGAGUCUUUGAACGCAAGUUGCGCCCGAAGCCACUAGGCCGAGGGCACGCCUGCCUGGGCGUCACACGCCGUUGCCCCCCCAUCUACUCCUUCGGGAUUGCGGGGGGGCGGAUGAUGGCCUCCCGUGCGCCUCGUCGCGCGGUUGGCAUAAAUGCCAAGUCCUCGGCGACGCACGCCACGACAAUCGGUGGUUGCGAAACCUCGGUUGCCCGUCGUGUGCGGUCGUCGCGCAUCGAGGGCUCGAAAAAAUUGCCGGGCUCCGGCUCGGCUUUCAACGCGACCCCAGGUCAGGCGGGGUUACCCGCUGAAUUUAAGCAUAUCAAUAAGCGGAGGA
rnacentral:misc_RNA from 1 species